rnacentral:rRNA from 1 species
AUUGAACGCUGGCGGCAUGCCUUACACAUGCAAGUCGAACGGCAGCACGGGAGCAAUCCUGGUGGCGAGUGGCGAACGGGUGAGUAAUAUAUCGGAACGUGCCCAGUCGUGGGGGAUAACGCAGCGAAAGCUGUGCUAAUACCGCAUACGAUCUACGGAUGUAAGCGGGGGAUCGCAAGACCUCGCGCGAUUGGAGCGGCCGAUAUCAGAUUAGCUAGUUGGUGGGGUAAAAGCCCACCAAGGCGACGAUCUGUAGCUGGUCUGAGAGGACGACCAGCCACACUGGAACUGAGACACGGUCCAGACUCCUACGGGAGGCAGCAGUGGGGAAUUUUGGACAAUGGGCGCAAGCCUGAUCCAGCAAUGCCGCGUGCAGGAUGAAGGCCUUCGGGUUGUAAACUGCUUUUGUACGGAACGAAACGGUGAGCUUUAAUACAGUUUGCUAAUGACGGUACCGUAAGAAUAAGCACCGGCUAACUACGUGCCAGCAGCCGCGGUAAUACGUAGGGUGCGAGCGUUAAUCGGAAUUACUGGGCGUAAAGCGUGCGCAGGCGGUUAUAUAAGACAGAUGUGAAAUCCCCGGGCUCAACCUGGGACCUGCAUUUGUGACUGUAUAGCUAGAGUACGGUAGAGGGGGAUGGAAUUCCGCGUGUAGCAGUGAAAUGCGUAGAUAUGCGGAGGAACACCGAUGGCGAAGGCAAUCCCCUGGACCUGUACUGACGCUCAUGCACGAAAGCGUGGGGAGCAAACAGGAUUAGAUACCCUGGUAGUCCACGCCCUAAACGAUGUCAACUGGUUGUUGGGUCUUCACUGACUCAGUAACGAAGCUAACGCGUGAAGUUGACCGCCUGGGGAGUACGGCCGCAAGGUUG